CGAGUUUACUCUAUCAACGCGUGGCAGCCCUUAUGGUGGAAGCAUUCGGCUUUGAUGUGCAAAUGUUUGAGAAGUCACAUGGUAUACAUUGGCUGCCAGUGUAUAAAGAGCAAACUAGCACAGGCAGGUUUGAUGCAUGUAGUCAAUUGGAAAUUGCUUUAUCCACUGGAAGCCUCAAUGGUGCAAAGUGAGGUUAUCCACCACUAGAUGGGUGACAGGUGAAUGAUGCACAAUAAUGUUUCCCCUGUAUUCAGCAGUUGGGGUUGGUGUCCCGAG